UAGGGUUUGAUUAUGGCUCAGAACGAACGCUGGCGGCAGGCCUAACACAUGCAAGUCGAGCGCGCCUUCGGGCGAGCGGCGGACGGGUUAGUAACGCGUGGGAACGUGCCCAGAUCUACGGAAUAGCCACUGGAAACGGUGAGUAAUACCGUAUACGCCCCUAGGGGGAAAGAUUUAUCGGAUUUGGAUCGGCCCGCGUUAGAUUAGGUAGUUGGUGGGGUAACGGCCUACCAAGCCUACGAUCUAUAGCUGGUUUUAGAGGAUGAUCAGCAACACUGGGACUGAGACACGGCCCAGACUCCUACGGGAGGCAGCAGUGGGGAAUCUUGGACAAUGGGGGAAACCCUGAUCCAGCCAUGCCGCGUGAGUGAAGAAGGCCCUAGGGUCGUAAAACUCUUUCGCCUGUGAUGAUAAUGACAGUAGCAGGUAAAGAAACCCCGGCUAACUCCGUGCCAGCCGCCGCGGUAAUACA
rnacentral:rRNA from 1 species